UCUUCUUUGACUUUCUCAAAGAAAUAAGACUCAAGAAACUCUUUUGCUCCCAUUUCCCACGGGUCCAUGCAAAUCAGAAAUUUGCACCUUACUUUACUCCUUUUUCUCUUAAGGAAAGAGCUAGGAAGCUCUCUUGAUUCUUUCUCUCAAAACCCACGGUCAACACCUCAAAAGAAAGAUGAAGCUUCAUCUCAUUUCUUCUUCAUAUUCUCUCAAAGGAACCAGAAAACUCUCUCAAGCUCUCUACCAUUCUUUCAUGAGUGGUUCUAUGUCUAUUUUCCCCCACAAGAACCAUAAACUUGGUGUUACCAGUUCCCCAAGUUUAAGCUCCUUCGACUGUAGGCUCUCGGUUCCUCUGCUUUCAGUUAGCAGGUUUUAUUUUGGGGCAGAGGGAG